rnacentral:rRNA from 1 species
UGCCAGCCGCCGCGGUAAUACGAAGGGUGCUAGCGUUGUUCGGAAUUACUGGGCGUAAAGAGCAUGUAGGCGGUUCGUUAAGUCUGAUGUGAAAGCCCGGGGCUCAACCCCGGAAGUGCAUUGGAAACUGGCGAACUUGAGUACGGGAGAGGAAAGUGGAAUUUCGCAUGUAGGGGUAAAAUCCGUAGAGAUGCGAAGGAACACCGGUGGCGAAGGCGCCAACCUGGAUGAAUAUUGACGCUGAGUCGCGAAAGCGUGGGGAGCAAACAGGAUUAGAUA